CCUACGGGGGGCAGCAGUGGGGAAUAUUGGACAAUGGGGGGAACCCUGAUCCAGCGACGCCGCGUGAGUGAAGAAGUAUUUCGGUAUGGAAAGCUCUAUCAGCAGGGAAGAAAGAAAUGACGGUACCUGACUAAGAAGCCCCGGCUAACUACGUGCCAGCAGCCGCGGUAAUACGUAGGGGGCAAGCGUUAUCCGGAUUUACUGGGUGUAAAGGGAGCGUAGACGGCGAUGCAAGUCUGAAGUGAAAAGCGGGGGCCCAACCUCCGGACUGCUUUGGAAACUGUAUGGCUGGAGUGCAGGAGAGGUAAGUGGAAUUCCUAGUGUAGCGGUGAAAUGCGUAGAGAUUAGGAGGAACACCAGUGGCGAAGGCGGCUUACUGGACUGUAACUGACGUUGAGGCUCGAAAGCGUGGGGAGCAAACAGGAUUAGAUACCCUUGUAGUC
rnacentral:rRNA from 1 species